GCUGGCGUGGCGAAACUGGUAAACGCGACGAUUUCGCAAGUCGUUGGGCGAAAGCUUUUGUCGGUUCGAGUCCGACCGCCAGUA
rnacentral:tRNA from 1 species